UACGUAGGGUGCAAGCGUUAAUCGGAAUUACUGGGCGUAAAGCGUGCGCAGGCGGUUCUAUAAGACAGAUGUGAAAUCCCCGGGCUCAACCUGGGAACUGCAUUUGUGACUGUAGAGCUGGAGUACGGCAGAGGGGGAUGGAAUUCCGCGUGUAGCAGUGAAAUGCGUAGAUAUGCGGAGGAACACCGAUGGCGAAGGCAAUCCCCUGGGCCUGUACUGACGCUCAUGCGCGAAAGCGUGGGGAGCAAACAGG
rnacentral:rRNA from 1 species